rfam:Arabis alpina cultivar Pajares Aa.chr5_contig_251, whole genome shotgun sequence.
GAUCAAUUGAUGAAUUAAUACUGCAACAAUAUGAUAGAGAAAAUUUUCAUGAUUCUUCGUAUUUAAGUCUCUCAAGAUC